rnacentral:tRNA from 1 species
AGAGGUGUAGCUCAAUGGUACAGCACUUGCCUACCAUGUAAGGCCCAGGGUUCAAUCUCCAGCACCACAG